UACGUAGGGUGCAAGCGUUGUCCGGAAUUAUUGGGCGUAAAGAGCUCGUAGGCGGCUUUGUAAGUCAGAGGUGAAAGCUCCCGGCUUAACUGGGAGAGGUCGUUGAAGACUGGAAGACUUGAGGCAAUGAGAGGGGUGUAGAAUUCCCGGUGUAGUGGUGGAAUGCGUAGAUAUCGGGGGGAAUACCAGUGGCGAAAGCGGCACCCUAGCGUUAGCCUGACGCUCAUGUGCGAAAGCGUGGGGAGCGAACGGG
rnacentral:rRNA from 1 species